UUAAAACCAUACACUAUUCCUUCCACUUGAGAAAUAUGCACUACUUUUGUCGGUCCAUUACAUAAAAUUCCAAUUAAAUGCACUGAAGUUUGUAGUUUAACAUGAUAAAAUGUGGAAAAGUUCAAGAAGUAAAAGUAGUUGUGCAAGGCGCUGCAUGUUAGGGCUGUAGAGGGGAGGAGGGAGCUUUUUGUUUGACAUAUGAUGAAAUAUAAAGCUCAAUGUUUGUAUAAAGAAGCUUUUUAAAUGACUUUUUUCCCAUUAAUCAAAGCACAUAAUAAAGCUUUUCACGUUAAACAAGAUAUCUAAUUUCCCGUUUAAAUACGAAGAAAUUUUCAAUGUCUGACCACAAAUGAUUGUGAUUAAUCUUGACUCACAUUGUGCUCUUUCAAAAUAAUGUGGCGAGUCAAGUUUGAUUUAAAUUUUUUUAAUAUGGCUUUUUAGUUUGGAAUGAAUAAGAAGCCCUUUGACGUUUAAUGACGGGCAUUUUUUAAAAACUUGCUGGGAGCCCUUAGGAUUGGCUACAUAAUGUGAUUACUAAGUUAAUCUAAGGUCCUGCUGGCGGCAGCUUAAAGAGUAACGUAGAGGGAGCAGUACAAUCCGUGUUAAUGAAUGAGACAGCUCAUUAUGUCGCAUUCCUGAGGAUUCAAAUGGUUUGCUACUGUGCUGCAAUAUAAAUUAACCGAAGAGAUGGAUGAAAAUUACAUUACCUGCUGCAGGCUAUAAUGCAAUAAGCCCACUGGUUAGUAACAGUCAAAAUGAAAAAGCCUGAUUGCUUUGUGUGUGUGUGUUUUUUUAAGGAGGCUUCCAUUGCUACAUGACCUGUAUAUUUGGGCAGUACUUAGCUGGACUGAAGGAAAUGUGUCUCAGUGGGUCCAAGGUCAAAAAAGCACCAGUGAGCAAAAGCUCAGGCUAGAGGACAGUUUACAUGUGUGGGCUUAGUGCAAGAUAUCGUGAGAAGUGGAAACAGCAUUUUGACAGAUUAAUACUGUUUUCUUUCCUGAGUCUGCUGUAUGUGAACAGUACUCUAACAAUUUGUCCAUAGGGUCACUGAGGAUUUAUUCUUUAACUAAAACUCUACAAACUGUAGGUAAAAAUGCAGAUUGUGCUCAAAGCGAAACCUUGGAAUGUUCUAGUGUCUGACAUCUAAAAGUGCCAGUCUUUGACCUUUAUACUGACUAUAUAUUGGUAUGUACCCUGUGUUUUUACAGUAAAUCAUUUCAGCGACUGGUUUAUGAAUAUACAACAUCUUAUACUACUCUUUUAAAGUUUUAUAUAUAUAUAUAACUAUAUAUAUAUUUAUGUGCAAAUUCCACAAAGUAGAACAUUAACUGUAUGAAUAAGUUAUCUAUGUUUUGUGGGAAAAGUAGCUUUAACAUCACUGUUUUGGUAUAAUCUGCCUGACUCUGUGGUCUGAACAAUCGGAUGUUUAAAGUACAGCUCAGAGUCAGUUCGUCCCCUCACCAGUUUGCACCGACAUGUUGCCAUUUCGUACCCACAACAGAUGUUUAUAUUUCUUUAUACUGAAGUAAUUAAAGAAUUUAGAAACAUAAAAUCAUAAAAUCUCAUACAUAACUAAACUAAUUUGUAUAUUAUUUUCAGAAAACUUUGUAUUUGCAUUUAUUCUGAUCACUGGUCACUCCGGAUCAAACCAAAAAUAUUUCCUGAGUGACCUCCUGCAGGUAGGUGAUAGUGAUUGGAUUCAUAUAAUCUCUUACUCAUAAGACUAUUAGUUUAAUCUUAAAAAUUAGAUAGCAACACUUUGAACCUGGAAAAGUUGGGUACAAAAUGAACAAAAUAGAGAAGGGAUCAAACAACCUGUAGCCUUAAAAUAUGCACUUGGCAUCAAGACAUAACAGCUUCGCUCCAUAACUUGGACUAUAAAAGUUUUUUUCCUUAAAGGUUCUGUAGAAGAAAACAUAGAAACAUGCUUACAAUAGCCUUCACACAUGCAGUCAAAAAAAGAUCUUUGUAAAUGAACUAAACUUUGCAUAUUAUUUUGGCAAGGGAGGAAAUAAAACAUCUUUUUCUGCUAUUAUAUUUCAACUCUCUACCCUUGGUUUUACACAAUUUAAAAAAAUUGUUCAUUUACAUAGAUAAAAAAUAUCUUUUUUUAUAUAUGCCACUGCACAAAAAGAGCAACAGACAACAAAAUGAACCCACAAGUCAAAAAAGAGAAGCAAAUGAGAAUAAAAAGGUUGCAUAAUUGAAUUCACAUUGACAAAUAGAAAAGCAGAGUGUUGGAGAGUAGUAGACUGUUGACUGGGAACUGCUUUUACAGUGAGAGUGACAAACUCCACGGCUGUGUAACCACAGGAGGCUUGAGUCACUAAUGAACGCUGGAUAAACGUAAACCGAAGAAAAGCAGGACACAUUUAUGGCCCUCUGUCUCCUCACUCUAAGGAUAUGUUUGUGUUUCGGACCUGAAUGAAACCAGACAUAACCACAGAACCUAAGAGCACAAGUGAACUCUGUCUGCCGGCUCUUACAUUCAUACAUAUAUAUAUAUAUAUAUAUAUAUAUAUAUAUAUAUAUAUAUUUUUUUUUUUUUUUUUCUUCCAGGAGAAAUGCAUGUUGAGCAUGUGCAUGUGUGCCAUUCAGUAAAAAAAAGGACUCAGACUAGCUCUGACCUGGAGUCUGUGGAGAUUAGAUCAGUGUUGUACUAUGAAGAGACUCUGCAUAUAGCACAGGACGUUGGUUAGGCUUUUAAGCUCGAGGUCACGACUUAGGCUUUUGUUAGAAGCACUGUAAGUAAUAGGUAACCCAACCUCUAUUAUUAGACAUUCCAGCAUGUCAUGUCAGAGAAAUUGUCCUUUCCUAUUGCACGCAGAGAGGAUUGUACCGAUGGCACUGAGCCCCAUAAACAUCCUUGGAGGAAACUAAAUCUGGAGAUAAUCACCUGUAAGAAGCCGGGAGAUUAUGACAGUGGUGAGGAAUGGAGAAUAGAGUCCGUGGGGGAUAUCUGCAGCUGAAUAUUAGCAGAAACCAACUGUUGUCUUUUGGAUACAUGUAGAGCUACUUUGUUAGCAACAUAAAGGAGUAGAUCCUGACAAGGAUCUGUGUGCAGCUGCACAGUUUUUAGCUUGAGCAUAAAAUAUAUAGUUCAAAUUUCGAUUGCUUACUUAAAUGCGUGCUUUAUAUAAAUUGUGUUUUGUUGCUUGAUCAAUGUAAAGCAGUGGUCCCUCCUUGAGUUUUAGCUAAAAUCUUCAGGAAACACUGUAAUUUAGAAAUGCUACAAUUCAGGCUUUAUGGGUCCUGAUGCACAAAACAUCUAGAUUUUUUUCUUUGUUCUGGUGCUUUUUAUUAUGUUUGUACAUAAAUCCCACAGGCACUGCUCUGCAGCAUUUUAUGUGCAUAACAUCAGGUAUAUUUCUAUUUACAACAUUAAAAAUUAUCAGAUUUAUUCUUUCAUGUCCAUAUUAAUACAUACUUAUGGUGUAGCUAACUCUGCAAUUUGGAUGGAAGGGAUAAGGGCACAUAUCGGCACUCAACAGACUUUAGAACUGAAUUAGUUGCUCCUGUUGACUCUGUGGCUUUUUGAGGGAAAAAUACUUAAAAAAAAUUAUUUACAAAGCUGUUUAUAUCUAAAUAAUAAAAUUAAUACAAGAGUUUAGUAUUUUAGUGAAAAGAAAUUAAGAACAGUUAACUUUUUAAAAAUCAUUUUAGAAACUAUUGUGAGCAGUUAGCAUCAUUAGCCAUUAGCUAAAUGUCACAGCAGUAUUUCUUUAAUGUAAUCGGGCAAAUUUUUACAUCAUUUGAUAUAAAUGAAACAUAUUUUUAAUAUAAAACUAUCAUAACAUUUAGGAAAUUGUUUUACUUAGUAAAGCUUUCAUUCUAAAAAUUUUAAAAUUUUAAAAUUUGCAAAAACAAAACAAAAAAAACAAAAAUAGGGGAAAAAUAAGAUCAUGGAAUGGUGGUUUCACGUCUCAAUCACUUCCGAUCGGUCAUGACUACUAAUUUUAUAUUUAAGUGUUCAUUUUAACAUUUUGUUUUAAGAUUUAGCUGUUUACAUCUGAUAUCACUCACUUUCAUUUCAACAUAAUGACUUCAUUAUUAAUAUAUAUUAUAUCAUAAAAAAUUUAUGUUAUCCUGUCCCUGCUUGUAAAAAGUCUCUAACAUGUGUGGAACAUAUUUAAAUUGUGUAUUUUAAAACAGGCUGUGAUGUAUCAAGAGACUAGGGGAAAGCAAAUUUAAAAUGUGUCAAUAUAAACCUCAACUAAUUUGAAACCCAAUAUUUUAUUUUCAUUAUACAUUUCUAAUAUCUUACAUUUCUAAAGCGUUUGUUGGACAUUAAACGCACCACCGUUUGAAGGAUGUAGGUCACAUUACAUGUUGAAAUGUGAGGCUAAAGGGUAUCAGCUGUGUAAAAAUAGGAUGCCAAAGCUCCGAGGGGAGAAGGUGAUGACUUGAGCAUCUGAUUGUCUCAGUCAGCGAAGGCUCGACCCUGAAGAGUGAUAGAAGCACACCGUCCUGGCUGAAAACUUCUUUAGAAUAUAAAACGUAAGGUUCACUGAACUGUCUCUAUAUCUGGUUUCUUCAGCUCCCGCAGUGUUUGCUCUGCACUCUAAAUUAUGCAUUUGUGCAUAUCUGUGAGGGCCCAGAAACACAAUCAUCAUCCCAACAGGGGGUUCCCACAGUCUGCCACUCUUCCUCCUGUCUGCAUUAAACAAGGUGCACCACUCUCUGUCAUCAUUUUCCUUGUCUUUCAUAUUAUUCCCUUAAUUUUCUUUAACUCUGCAUGCAUGCUGAAAUCCAGUCAGGAAAAAGGAAAAAACUAAAUUAAAUCCACUGAGACUGAAAAACAUCACGGCCCCUUAGAGAGAAGCUACAUAACUGUUACACAGCUUGAUCAUUCAAGAAACACUGCUUCAUGUAAACAUGCCUUUAUCAAAUGGCUCACAGGCCUUAAGUGCCCUGAAGGUGGGCAGCUGAUUUUUAGGAAGAAAAACAAAAGUCAAGGCUCUGUGUUGGAAAGAUACAAGUGCUGUAGGUCUGCACUCACUUCAGAUUUAGUCUGAAGAUUAGCAAAAAAAAAAAAAAA